UACUGUAAAGUUGUCAACUACAUGUUUCUAAUAACAUGUCGGCAAAAAGCAAGGUUGUGGUUGAAAGAAGGCAGCCGCUGUGCUUUUUUCCUUUUUAAAUUUAUUCCUAUAAAUGAAAGGGAAGGCUGUGUAUAUACAUACCAUUAUGAAAUUGGGAGGGGAGAGGGAGAAAUCAAAAGCAAGAGAAGAAAAGAGAAAACAAAGGAGUUGUGCUAAAAGCCAGGCCAGCCCAGUAAUAAGGUUGUAACGCUGAUAUUGAUUUGGGCACUGUGCAGACAUUCCUAGCCCAUGUGGUUUGUGUAUUCCUGUCUGAGUGGGUGGUCUGCAGAGGGAGUGAGGUUAAAAUGCAGGAGGACCACUUGGUUGAAGAGCACAGAAGGGAAACUACUAUCGUCUGAAGCCCCUCCAGGAUAAUUUUACUUAUGUGGGAGAGACGGAGCCUUUGGUGAAAAGAGUUCUUGCAUUUGGAGAAUCAUUUGGAUUUUGAAGUGGCCCAUGUCAGAUAGAGCAACACCCCCACCUUAACGUUGAAGCAUUUAUAUUCUGCCUUUCUCAAGAGAACUCAAGACGUGAAAGCUUUACCGUUUUAGCAGAGCCACUCUGCAUGAAGAAGAAGAAAAAGAAAAAGAAAAGUUUGGAUUUAUAUUCCCUCUUUCUCUCCUGCAGGAGACUCAAAGGGGCUAACAAUCUCCUUGCCCUUCCCCCCUCACA